UCAGACGCUAGAGAGUAUGCACUGGUGUACUGAUACACACUCAACUAGAGGUUCUCGAGCAGACAGCCGCUGUUCCCCUAGGCAAGGGGCAAGAGGGAGAUACAGAGAUGAGGAAGGCAUGGACUGACCACCAUCUGGGCAGGGAAACAAUGAGCAUCAUAAAUCAGAGGACAAUGUUACUUAAGAUGUUUUCCCAACUCAAGUCACCUAAUCCAUUCAGAACUAUGCAAGGUACAAAAUGGAUGCUCAGGAAAGAUGCCUUAAAUACAACUAGAUCAACUCUCCUCAUCGAGAGUCACUGCUUCUCCAUUGCUUUAACUGCACGCUGAGGACAGUCACCCUCUUCAGAACAGCCCUCAUGAAGAGCCAAAUGGGAGCAGAGGAAGCAGCCCUGAAUCGGGCAUCAGUUUCAGUCCUGGAUCUUCAUUAAGCUUUGUGAAUUUACAGAGAAUAUUUAAUACCUUAUGGCAUUAUUCCUCACUUGGGAAAUAAAUGAGUCAGAUAGGUUGCUGUACAGAAAAUGAAAAAUGCUUUUGUUUUAAAUAACUUGUAUGACAGACGACCUAGC